rnacentral:rRNA from 1 species
GAUGAACGCUGGCGGCGUGCCUAAUACAUGCAAGUCGAGCGAACGGACGAGAAGCUUGCUUCUCUGAUGUUAGCGGCGGACGGGUGAGUAACACGUGGAUAACCUACCUAUAAGACUGGGAUAACUUCGGGAAACCGGAGCUAAUACCGGAUAAUAUUUUGAACCGCAUGGUUCAAAAGUGAAAGACGGUCUUGCUGUCACUUAUAGAUGGAUCCGCGCUGCAUUAGCUAGUUGGUAAGGUAACGGCUUACCAAGGCAACGAUGCAUAGCCGACCUGAGAGGGUGACCGGCCCCACUGGAACUGAGCCACGGUCAAGCCUCCUACGGGAGGCAGCAGUAGGGAAUCUUCCGCAAUGGGCGAAAGCCUGACGGGGCAACGCCGCGUGAGUGAUGAAGGUCUUCGGAUCGUAAAACUCUGUUAUUAGGGAAGAACAUAUGUGUAAGUAACUGUGCACAUCUUGACGGUACCUAAUCAGAAAGCCACGGCUAACUACGCG